rnacentral:rRNA from 1 species
UACGUAGGGUGCAAGCGUUGUCCGGAAUUAUUGGGCGUAAAGAGCUCGUAGGCGGUCUGUCGCGUCGGCUGUGAAAACCCGGAGCUCAACUCCGGGCCUGCAGUCGAUACGGGCAGACUGGAGUUCGGCAGGGGAGAGUGGAAUUCCCGGUGUAGCGGUGAAAUGCGCAGAUAUCGGGAAGAACACCCGUGGCGAAGGCGGCUCUCUGGGACGGUACUGACGCUGAGACGCGAAAGCGUGGGGAGCGAACAGG